CACACACACACACACACACACACACACACACACACACACACACAUUUGCCGACUCCCUCCCUCUCUACCUCACGCUAUGCUCUCGCAGAAACCACACCAGUCUUAGACUUUUUCCUUUUACCCUCCCCGUGUUUGUGUUUUUGCUAGCGGAUAGAGAAACUGGCCCCACGCUGCUCCGCAUGGCUCACUUCAACCCAGCCUCCAGAAAAGGCCACCACUGCCCGCCUGUUUCUAGGCGCUGCCUGCCGGCCUUGCUACCCAUGCCAUUUUUUUUGUUUUGUUUCUCUACAUUUUAUUUCCUCUUUUUAGUUUUUUUCUUUUCCUGGCCUACCCCCUUCUCCUGCGUCUUAAUAAAGAGGAAGAAAAGGCAAGUGAGCAGUGUCCAUGAGGAAAAAAGAAGGGAGUGAGGAGGCAGAAAAGAGAGAGAAAAUGAAGAACAGGAUCUGAGUGAGGACUGGCACUGUGCAGCGAGACAAGCAAAGAGGGAGAGCGAGGGAGCGAGAAAGGACGGACAUGAGAGGACAGAGAGCGAAGUGGCUGUGGUGGUGGAGGGGGGAGUCCUCCAGCCUGUCGAAAAGGAAGCCACACAGAAACGGGCAAGGAGAGAGAAGGGGAGCGCUCAGCACAGUAUGAUUUUUGCUUCUUCUUCAACAUGGAAAAAUGAACACCAGGAAGACUGGGGCAAAAGGUUUUUUUUUUCAUUUUUGAGUUGUCACAAUCAUCUGAUGCACGAUGAUUUUGAGCAUGUUUGAUUCUGCCAAGACAUGGCCUCAGCAGCAGGGUGAAAGAGGUGGCAUUCCAAAGUGGUGGCUGUUGGACAAUUUAGCAGCAUUUCAUAACAAUUUCCCAAAAUGGAAUCAUAAGAUGAUCUUCAAAUGCCAACGUUCCCCAUCAAAACCUGUCGCACCGACCCAUGCCGUUUUCUUCAUGUUCCGUAAUCCAUUCUCUUUGAAACAUGGGAACAUUGUGCAUGACAUGGUGCACCACAGAAAAGAUGGCAAUCCACUGUGUGGCUUCUUUUUUUUUUAAUGGGACUGAAGCGACAUUAAAGUUGUCUAUUUUAAAAUGACUGAAAAAAUGCCAUUCAGAGUGUUAUAUUCUGCUUUCUAUGGCUCACAGCGACCCUGCUCAAGACAAGAGGUUGUGGACAAGGGAAUGGAAUGGAAGGGAAUGUGCAAGACAGGUCAUGUUUCUCCUGUGCAUCAAGCAGCACUGCAGUGUAAUAGAAGAAAAAAUAAAAAGAAGAGAAAAACCUGCUGGUUGAGAGCAAAUGCAGAAGGCAGCUUAGGAGGCACACGUCUUCUUCAUCUGGAAGUUAAAUGGAGACCAGACAGUCAAAUCAGAUGAGCCUGAAGAAGUUCAAGCCAGGAAGACAAACACACCAGCCAAGCAAAACAAUUCUUCCUGGCUACAUGAACCCUGGAAUCUGAGGAUGGUAGACAACUAGGAUACCAGGAACAUGACUAAUGACUGGACUACUGCCCUGGUGCCCAAGUGGCACCCUGAAAUGUUUGGGCUACUACUUUCAACCCAGGAGGGAGAAAGCACUAUAGCCUCCUACCAGCUCUGAUUUUGCUGUCACUUGGGACCUGGAUGGACCUAAACUGAGGGAAGGAUGAGUGAAUGGUUGGUGGUGAUUCCCAGGCAAGCUGUGCAUUAGAUCAUGACAGCUCCCUACUACCUGCCCUUGCCAAAGGACAAUUAAUGUCAACCAGCGGUUACCAACUGAGGACUCAUAAACCCUCAUUUAAGGCAGCUGGUCUGAGGAUUUGACAGAAAUAGGCCAUGGUUUUGUAUUAUGCUAGCCUCUUUUCUGUUUGCUUUCUUCUCUGUUUCAUCUCAUCAUUAGUUAUGCUUUUGGUUUUGCCGUGUCCCCAUUUCAGUUUAGCUUCAUUUGUAAGUUAAGCCUUUUCCAUGGAGGAAACCUGAUGUCUCUGAGCUUCUGUCCCACCCAUGUGGCAAUCCCUACCCCAUACAAUGUCACAGUGUGUUAUGAUGCAAUAAGUCCAUGUAACUGCUGUAGGGCCCUCCAAAGCUGUAUCCAAAACAAAGGUGUCACAGCAGUUCCAGUAAAUGGGAUCCAGCCAGUGGGCUUGUGCCUUUUCCAGAAAUUUCCAGUGACCAUGUGGGCGAGAUUCAGACAGUGCUGCAACUUCCCACCCUUCCUUAAA